UCUACACAGUUAUGUUCAACUGGGCUC
rnacentral:piRNA from 1 species